CAAGUCGAACGCGAAAGCCCCGCAAGGGGCAAGUAGAGUGGCAAACGGGUGAGUAACACGUGGGUGACCUGCCUUCGAGCGGGGGAUAACGUCCCGAAAGGGACGCUAAUACCGCAUGACAUCCUGCCUUUGAAGAGGUGGAGAUCAAAGCCGGGGAUCGCAAGACCUGGCACUCGAAGAGGGGCCCGCGCCUGAUUAGCUAGUUGGUGGGGUAACGGCUCACCAAGGCGACGAUCAGUAGCCGGCCUGAGAGGGCGGACGGCCACACUGGGACUGAGACACGGCCCAGACUCCUACGGGAGGCAGCAGUGGGGAAUUGUUCGCAAUGGGCGCAAGCCUGACGACGCAACGCCGCGUGGAGGACGAAGACCUUCGGGUCGUAAACUCCUUUCGAUCGAGACGAAUGGCCCCUGGGCUAAUCACCAGGGGAGUGACGGUACCGAGAGAAGAAGCCCCGGCUAACUCCGUGCCAGCAGCCGCGGUAAUACGGGGGGGGCAAGCGUUGUUCGGAAUUACUGGGCGUAAAGGGCUCGUAGGUGGCCAACUAAGUCAGACGUGAAAUCCCUCGGCUUAACCGGGGAACUGCGUCUGAUACUGGAUGGCUUGAGUUUGGGAGAGGGAUGCGGAAUUCCAGGUGUAGCGGUGAAAUGCGUAGAUAUCUGGAGGAACACCGGUGGCGAAGGCGGCAUCCUGGACCAACACUGACACUGAUGAGCGAAAGCCAGGGGAGCAAACGGGAUUUAGAUACCCCCGGUAGUCCUGGCCCUAAACGAUGCCUGCUUGGGUGUGGCGGGUAUCGAUCCCUGCC
rnacentral:rRNA from 1 species